rnacentral:lncRNA from 1 species
UGUAAAUGUCAGAGUUGGCAUGCUGCAUUCUGGUUGCAGACCUCUGUGUCUUCUGACUUUUCCAAGGGAGGGCAAGACUCAAAGAAGCAGUUAGAGUCAGUUACUUAUAACCUAAGUAAGACAAAGAAUAGUAAGCUGCAAAGAUGUGAUAAAGCAAAGGGGAUUGUGGUAGGAAAUUUAACUGGGUGGAGAAACUGCUAGGAAGAUAAAGUUUAGUUUAACAAGGCUUGUUUGUACAAAAUUCUUUCUGCCUCAAUUUUCUCAUCCUUGAUGAUAAGAAUGUUGCUUUUUCUUUAGCGUAGGGAGGACAAAUUUCAGUGGGAAUUUCUUCUUCUGCUUUUAAGAAACAGCAAAAAAGUCAGAGUGAUUGUUUUGCACCUGCCAUUUUGAAAGUGCCUUUAAUGUAAGUAGUAAAUAUGCCAGAGUGGUAUGUUUGUCACUCCUUCAUCCUCAAGGUUCAUCCAUGUUGUAGCAUGUGACAAGAUUUUCUUCUUUUUACAGGCUGAAUAGUGUUACCUUGUACAUAUAUGCCACGUUUUAAAAUCCAUUCAUCCAACAAUGGACACUAGGUUGCUUCCAC